UCCCUAAUGGUCUAGUGGUUAAGACUCUGCAGUUCCAAUGCAGAAGGUGUGGGUUCAAUCCCUGGUCAGGGAA
rnacentral:tRNA from 1 species